GACGAACGCUGGCGGCGUGCCUAAUACAUGCAAGUUGAGCGCUGAAGGUUGGUACUUGUACCAACUGGAUGAGCAGCGAACGGGUGAGUAACGCGUGGGGAAUCUGCCUUUGAGCGGGGGACAACAUUUGGAAACGAAUGCUAAUACCGCAUAAAAACUUUAAACACAAGUUUUAAGUUUGAAAGAUGCAAUUGCAUCACUCAAAGAUGAUCCCGCGUUGUAUUAGCUAGUUGGUGAGGUAAAGGCUCACCAAGGCGAUGAUACAUAGCCGACCUGAGAGGGUGAUCGGCCAAAUUGGGACGGAGACACGGCCCAAACUCCUACGGGAGGCAGCAGUAGGGAAUCUUCGGCAAUGGACGAAAGUCUGACCGAGCAACGCCGCGUGAGUGAAGAAGGUUUUCGGAUCGUAAAACUCUGUUGGUAGAGAAGAACGUUGGUGAGAGUGGAAAGCUCAUCAAGUGACGGUAACUACCCAGAAAGGGACGGCUAACUACGUG
rnacentral:rRNA from 1 species